GAUGAACGCUAGCGGGAGGCCUAACACAUGCAAGCCGAGCGGUAUUGUUUCUUCGGAAAUGAGAGAGCGGCGUACGGGUGCGUAACACGUGUGCAACCUGCCUUUAUCUGGGGGAUAGCCUUUCGAAAGGAAGAUUAAUACUCCAUAAUAUAUUGAACGGCAUCGUUUAAUAUUGAAAGCUCCGGCGGAUAGAGAUGGGCACGCGCAAGAUUAGCUAGUUGGUGAGGUAACGGCUCACCAAGGCGAUGAUCUUUAGGGGGCCUGAGAGGGUGAUCCCCCACACUGGUACUGAGACACGGACCAGACUCCUACGGGAGGCAGCAGCGAGGAAUAUCGGUCAAUGGGUGCAAGCCUGAACCAGCCAUCCCGCGUGAAGGACGACUGCCCUAUGGGUUGUAAACUUCUUUUGUAUAGGGAUAAACCUACCCUCGAGAGGGUAGCUGAAGGUACUAUACGAAUAAGCACCGGCUAACUCCGUGCCAGCAGCCGCCGUAA
rnacentral:rRNA from 1 species